AGAGUUGAUCAUGGCUCAGGACGAACGCUGGCGGCGUGCCUAACACAUGCAAGUCGAACGGAGUCGGCCCCGCAAGGGACUGACUUAGUGGCGAACGGGUGAGUAACGCGUGAGCAACCUGCCUUUCAGUGGGGGACAACAGUUGGAAACGACUGCUAAUACCGCAUAAUGCAUUUUGACCGCAUGAUCGAGAUGCCAAAGAUUUAUUGCUGAAAGAUGGGCUCGCGUCUGAUUAGAUAGUUGGUGAGGUAACGGCCCACCAAGUCGACGAUCAGUAGCCGGACUGAGAGGUUGAACGGCCACAUUGGGACUGAGAUACGGCCCAGACUCCUACGGGAGGCAGCA
rnacentral:rRNA from 1 species